rnacentral:rRNA from 1 species
GACGGAGGAUGCAAGCGUUAUCCGGAAUUAUUGGGCGUAAAGCGUCCGCAGGUGGACAUACAAGUCUGCUGUCAAAGUGCAGAGCUUAACUCUGUAAAGGCGGUGGAAACUGUAGGUCUUGAGUAUGGUAGGGGUAGAGGGAAUUCCCGGUGUAGCGGUGAAAUGCGUAGAUAUCUGGAGGAACACCGGUGGCGAAGGCGGCAUCCUGGACCGGCAUUGACGCUGAGGCGCGAAAGCCAGGGGAGCAAACGGG